rnacentral:misc_RNA from 1 species
GAAAUGUGAUAAGUAAUGUGAAUUGCAGAAUUCAGUGAAUCAUCGAAUCUUUGAACGCACCUUGCGCUCCCUGGUAUUCCGGGGAGCAUGUCUGUUUGAGUGUCAUGAACUCUUCAACCCACCAGUUUCUUGUAGACUGAUUGGUGUUUGGAUUUUGAGCGUUGCUGGUCUUCGGAUCUAGCUCGUUCGUAAUAAAUUAGCAUCUCUAAUUCGAACUCGGAUUGACUCAGUGUAAUAGACUAUUCGCUGAGGACACGCUCUUGUAGUGUGGCCGAAUGAGAUCUCAGUAGAAGCUUCCAACUACUUUAGUCAACUUUAGAUUAGACCUCAGAUCAGGCAGGAUUACCCGCUGAACUUAA